rnacentral:rRNA from 1 species
AUUGAACGCUGGCGCCAUUCCUAACACAUGCAAGUCGAACGGUAACAGGAAACAGCUUGCUGUUUCGCUGACGAGUGGCGGACGGGUGAGUAAUGUCUGGGAAACUGCCUGAUGGAGGGGGAUAACUACUGGAAACGGUAGCUAAUACCGCAUAACGUCGCAAGACCAAAGAGGGGGACCCUCGGGCCUCUUGCCAUCGGAUGUGCCCAGAUGGGAUUAGCUUGUUGGUGGGGUAACGGCUCACCAAGGCGGCGAUCCCUAGCUGGUCUGAGAGGAUGACCAGCCACACUGGAACUGAGACACGGUCCAGACUCCUACGGGAGGCAGCAGUGGGGAAUAUUGCACAAUGGGCGCAAGCCUGAUGCAGCCAUGCCGCGUGUAUGAAGAAGGCCUUCGGGUUGUAAAGUACUUUCAGCGGGGAGGAAGGGAGUAAAGUUAAUACCUUUGCUCAUUGACGUUACCCGCAGAAGAAGCACCGGCUAACUCCGUGCCAGCAGCCGCGGUAAUACGGAGGGUGCAAGCGUUAAUCGGAAUUACUGGGCGUAAAGCGCACGCAGGCGGUUUGUUAAGUCAGAUGUGAAAUCCCCGGGCUCAACCUGGGAACUGCAUCUGAUACUGGCAAGCUUGAGUCUCGUAGAGGGGGGUAGAAUUCCAGGUGUAGCGGUGAAAUGCGUAGAGAUCUGGAGGAAUACCGGUGGCGAAGGCGGCCCCCUGGACGAAGACUGACGCUCAGGUGCGAAAGCGUGGGGAGCANACAGG